CAUGAUUCUCAAUUGUGUGAUCCU
rnacentral:siRNA from 1 species